GUCGUUCCGCCAAGCUGUUGCUCGGAACAUAUAAACUACUUUUCUUCUCAGGUCUAUCCCUUGCGCGUGUCUCCAACUUUAUCAUUUUACAGCUUUACAAACCCUCAUCAAACAGCGACAGCUUCCACCAUUUUUUUUUUUUAAAUUUGUGCGUGUUAAAGUAAUGGAGGAAAAUAAGUAGGGUGAUGACCAUGAAGAAGAAGGAGAGACAGAGUAUGUACUGCUUGAUCUUGAUACUGUUUCUGGGCAGAUUUAUUUUCCUCCAAAUGCACCUUACACUCUUUCAGGUCUGCAUAAGAUGAAUCCAAUAUUAAUCAUAGAUGAAAAAGUGAAGCUGAAGCUUCCCCUGUAGUUCAUGAAGAGACAGGUCCAUCAGAAGCAAAUCUCUUCUCAGGAAAAUGUGUAAUAGAUCCAAACCAAACUCCAAGAAAGCAACUAAAGCCAGUUGCCCGACUUCAGAAGAUUCUAAAGUUUAGGUUGUUACUAAAUGGCAAUGUUCAAGAUGAAACAAAUGCCCCAACUAAUUCAAAAUUGUAAGUAGCAGACUCUAUUUUGUAGUCACUGGUCAAUGUUCAUUCUUAAUUUUGAAAGUAAUUUAAUGCAAUCACCAUUAUGGUCUGCCUUUCUUUUCUAUACUCCUGCAUUAUAUAUCUAUUACCUAGAAUGUUGCAAUAUUGCUAGUUCUUGACCGGAUUGAGAAGGAGAGCUGCAUUUGGAUGUUGGUGGUCAGUAUAGAUUCUGGGUGGUUUUAAGUGAAUUUGAUAAAAUACAAGGAUAUUGACAUGGGUUUAGACCUUAUUCGAUAUGUAAAUUCUGAUAUAAUGUAUUCUAAUGCCUAAUACUGAUUUUCAAUCUGUCGUUGAAAUCCAAGGCUUUCCCCUCUUCCAUGCUGAAAUUGUUUAAAAAAUGUACUUCCAUUUUGCCUGUAGAUGUAUACUA